CGGGAGAGGCACUCCUCUGCCCCGAGCCAUCUUAAAAGUAAGCCAUCCAGCUGCCGCCCCUCUCCUCCUAUUUCUCUUCUUCUCUCCCUCUAAUCUCUCUCUCUCUCUCACGUUUUCUUCAGGGACCCCGCACCAUCGCACCUCACCUUGGAGCUCGCCGCCUCGGGUCACCUCUCCGUCUUGAUCUGUCCUCCACUGCCGGAUCCGCCGCCUCAACCUCUCCGCCUCGAUCCGUCCGCCGCCGCCGGAUCCCGGAAGCAGCCGGAUCCGCCGCCGCCUGCCUCACCUGCGUUCGUCCGCAGCGUGGGCCACGCAGCUGCCUCGGCCCCCCUGCCUCGUCCAACCGCGCCAGGAGAGGAGUCCUCUGCCCCGCCACCGGAUCGACCCCGGAGCAGCCGGAUUCGACGUCUACUGCCUCACCUGCGUUCGUCUGCUGCGUGGGCGCAGCUGCUCGUGAACCGUCGUCCAUCUCUCUGCCCUGCUGUGUAGGUCACCUGCGUCGCUAGUGUCGCAGGUCUUCGGGCGGCAUUGAUGCUUCGAUUGGCAGCUGAUGUCUCACUUUCUGAUUCCUUAUUCGCUGUUAUCACCAGCUGGGUCUUUGCGUCUCUCUGCUCCCGAGUAUUGCAGCCCUUCUCUCAUUUAGCAGGUCAUGAUUUUGACUCCCCUCAACCAGCUGAUUUUCUGUGCGUGCGGACCGCGGGUUCAAUAUUAGAAAGUGCAGGGUCCUUUUUAUGAGAACAAAGCGUUUUUUCAAAGUGUGACUUAAACAGGGACUGCGGGUUGAUUUCAAAGAAACAGAGGGGCGUUUUCGCAAAAACACCGACGACGUACGGGCAGAAGCACUCCGUGCUUUAUUAG
rnacentral:rRNA from 1 species